GCGCCACGGAAGCUCCUGCACCGAAGGUCAGCGGUCACUACGGGCCACAGGAGGCCUUCCACGGUGGCCCGAGGUGAAGCCCGCCUCCAGCUCUGCUCAGGGGCCCGGCGGUGGCCUCACAGACGCUGACGAGGACGAAGGAGGGCCACAGGCCACCCUGGGAACCCCCACCGGGAGGCGGAUGAUGGGCAAGGACCUGCACACCAGCCCGCGAGGCCGUGGGCUCUCACUCUCUGCUUGGGUUUCUGAACAGCCCCCCCCUCAGGGCAAAGCACAGGACAAGACCCAGAGCACGCGAGC